rnacentral:rRNA from 1 species
UGGGGAAUAUUGGACAAUGGACCAAGAGUCUGAUCCAGCAAUUCUGUGUGCACGAUGACGUUUUUCGGAAUGUAAAGUGCUUUCAGUUGGGAAGAAAAAAAUGACGGUACCAACAGAAGAAGUGACGGCUAAAUACGUGCCAGCAGCCGCGGUAAUACGUAUGUCACGAGCGUUAUCCGGAUUUAUUGGGCGUAAAGCGCGUCUAGGUGGUUAUGUAAGUCUGAUGUGAAAAUGCAGGGCUCAACUCUGUAUUGCGUUGGAAACUGUGUAACUAGAGUACUGGAGAGGUAAGCGGAACUACAAGUGUAGAGGUGAAAUUCGUAGAUAUUUGUAGGAAUGCCGAUGGGGAAGCCAGCUUACUGGACAGAUACUGACGCUGAAGCGCGAAAGCGUGGGUAGCAAACAGGAUUAGAUACCCUGGUAGUCCACGCCGUAAACGAUGAUUACUAGGUGUUGGGGGUCGAACCUCAGCGCCCAAGCAAACGCGAUAAGUAAUCCGCCUGGGGAGUACGUACGCAAGUAUG